CUCCGUCGCUUAAAGUUCUGUCCGCCGCAGGAGGCGGCACCUCCAAGUCUCCAACAUUUUCUAUAGAUUCCAGAUUUCCAGCCAAGCACAUCAACAAUCAACAGAGGAGACGGCAUCGUCCGAGCCGCCGGUGGUCGCUGGGGUUAGGGUGAGAAAGCUGUCAUGGCGGCUGACCGAGGCGCCGGCGGCGGCAACUAUCUCGCUGGCGGAGCGGAGGGGUCAGAAAAAGCGGCCAGCAUCGCAAAUUUCAAGUUGAUAUACAUGGCCCACGAGGGAAACGCGGAGGGAAUACGCGAGCUACUCGACGCCGGCGCCCACCCCAACUUCCGCGACUUAGAUGGCCGCACGGCGAUGCAUAUCCCCGCCUGUGAGGAGCACGCAGUGGCCGUACAGCUGCUCUUCGAGCCCGGCGCGGGGUGUUGGUCGGAGUCGUGGUUCUUCUGCUGAGUUAGGACAAUUGCAAAUUGACAAUACACUGCGAGCACGCAUGGUUCAAGAUUUUGUGUUGAUUUUGAUCUGGUGACUUUUGCCUUGCUAUAUGGGCGGCGCAGAGCCGAUUGCUCGAUAUAGUUUACCCUGGAGUUGUGAAGAUGCACAAGGUGAAUUUUGAUGCGAAGAAGGACAUGAUCCACCACUAUAGGGUUCUCUAGGACAUGUUUAACAAGCUGCAGUUAAGCAAGCCAAAUUCAAACUCUGAACUCCAAGCACAACCUGUUCGAACAAAGCACUGGAUGUUUCUGAGGUGUUGGUCUUCCUCUUCGGGGCGCCCACACCCACUACUCCGGCGGCGCCGUGGGUGGCCAAGUCUGCAUUCAUUGAUCAAUCGGUGCCCUAAGGGUGCCUCAGCGGGGAAGAUGAAUAUUCUAGAUGGGCGUCUCGGCGGAUGUCGACAAAUGCGAAGAGGAAAGACGGGAUGGCUUGCACCAUAGCCAGAAACAAGACUAAGAGAAAAUACAACAAAUUCCAUUCAUGGGUGAGGACUCUUGAAGAAAACAACAGGCUGACGACAAAGGAAGAAGAAAACAGAACACCUUACGGACACCCUCUUCGACAAUGAAGUUGAGCCCUCGAUCCCUACUGACGAGAACGCAGGCCCCGGUCCAGCUGUUGUCCUCCCAACUCUGCUUGAUCCCGACGACAAAGCAAAACUCGCUCCAGUUCACAACCUCCCCACACCAACAAUGGAACUGACCAUCACCCUCUCCUCCAACUACGCAAUGCCAGCUGACAGCUUGAAGAAAAAGGAACACCAGCACCAGUCUUAGCAUGAUAUCCACUAAGUAGCUAUGUAGUGAUCUACUGUCUUAUUAUCAUUGCCUAAUAUAACGCUUUAGUGACUCAAUUCUAUAAAUAAGUGAUCGAGUGCGAUGUACCAACACCAAUAGCCAAUCUCUAUUUCACGAACGAAAUAGCCUUCUAGCACCAUCACUUUUCAGCA